AUGAGGAACUGGGGGUCCUGACCUGGACCCUGCUGGUACCAGUAGACAGUGUCGUGUCUAGGGAUAGGAUAGCAUUUCAGAGUGGCUGUUUCCCUCUUUUCUUUGAUCAGAUGUCUUGGGGACUGGAUGACUCCAGCAGCCACUGAACCUGUGGAGGAAGGAGACAGAAGCUGAAGACUCAGCUCGGGAGAGUUUGACACUUCAGCAACAAUUGAACACUGUGGAUACAGGGAUGUCCCACCUGUACUCAGGACUCACCUGCUCCCAGGAGACAAAGCAUGACACGGCAGAGGAGCCUGGUGUUCCAGGCAGAGUCAGGCAGUUCUGUUUUUGCCUUGGGAUUUUGAAGAUCCAUUUUCAGGUGUGUGGGACUUUGUGUGACUCCAGCCUCCACUGGGCCUGCAGGAAAAGCAGAUGGAGGAUGAGCUCAGGAGACAGCCCAGAGGUCCUCCCCAAGGUAAAGUGGAGGACACUGGGGUGGGAAAGCUGAGAAUGGGGCUGCUGUCCUGUGCCCAGGACUCACCUGUUCCGAGGAGACAAAGCAGUGCCCAGAAGAGGAGCCUGGGUCCCAUGGCACAGUGGGCCAGGCGGCACUGCACCUGAUUCAGGGCUUGGUCUUCCUGGGGAAGAGCCGAGUGAGUUCUGGGCCUUCAUUUUCCUGAUGGGAGGGGUAUCCUGUGAUGUGGCUGUCCUGUGUCCUCCCCAGGAAGCCUUCCUUAGGUCUAGUGCCCCACAGACCCUGGACUCUCUACCUGUCCUGCAGAGCUGGAGGGAUGGUUGAAGGCAGAAGCUUCUGUGAUGAUACAGUUACUCCUCUGCCUACACUGCCCCAGCUCACAGGCUGCCCCAUCGCCCUCUUACUCUCCUCUGACCUAGUGCUGCGGUGCUCCAUGCUGGAGCUCACACACAUGCCCAUCAGCAGAGGGCGAGGAGCCUGAUUAAACUUCAGGUUCCUGCUCUUCCUUGCUGUCCUCACAUCAUCUUUCUGAUGCUAGAUUCACACCAAUGUUUCUUACUAUAUUUUCCUGUCCCAGGCAACAUUCUCUUCCCUUUCCUCAGUGGCCAGUGGUGCAGAGUCCCCAAGAUUUAGUCCAUCUGAUCAGAUCCAAAGCAGAGCUGGGUUGUCUGUAAAUUAUGAAGAGUACAGAUUCCUCAGAAAUAAUUCUAGGGCUUUAACAGCUAACAGCACAGAAUUUGUCUUAUUGGAGAUGGGACAGCAGAGGGAGGUAGGGUCACCAUCUGUGCUGGUUUGCAAAAUCUAUUCCCUUGGCUCCCUUCUUGCUUGGUUAAAUUUCCUGGUGCCUGAAAGUAGUCACACGUUAGCCUGAAUGCUUAGCCACUUAGAUAUUUCUUUCAGCAGAUAUCCUAGCGAAUGACUCAUAAUUUUUAUAUUCAAUAAAUUCCUAGAACAGAACACAGUUUUGCCAAGGAUUUUGCUACUUACCACAAGGAUGGCAUUUACUUCAAUUUCCGAUACCUUGUUCCUCAUUUCCCCCUGAGCCUUCACCAGAAUUGCCCUUAAUGCUCUGUUUUCAGGAGUCUAGGCUUUUGCUAGUCUGCUCCUCCCAGUUCUUUCAACCUCUAUCCAUUAGCCGCUUCCCAUUAACCAAAGCUGCUUCUACAUUUGCAGGUAUUAUAGCAACAGCCUCACUCUUGGUACCAUUUUUUCUUUCAAUGUCUUUCCUGCUGACAUAGAGAAAUAUCACAGACUGGGCAAUUUAUAAAGACAAGAGGUUUAUUUGGCUUACAGAUCUGGAGACUGGGAAGUCCAAGAUCAAGGGUCCAUAACUGAUGAGGGCCUCCUGCUGUUAUCCAAGGCAGAAGGAAGGGGAAGCAAGCACCCAAGACAGAGAAAACAGCUGAUUUCAUCCUUUUUAUCAGAAGACCGUUCCCAAGACAUAAUUCACCCCUCCAAUAAGGGCAUUGAUCUCUUUCUGAGGGCAGAUCCCUCAUGACCUAGUCAUAACUGUCCCACCUCCCAAUACCAUUACACUGACAAAUUUCAACAUGAGCUUUUGUGGGGACACGCAAGCAUAGCACACGUGUCUACACUAUGAGUAUUUCCACUCUUAAAUCUAUAUCAAAAAAAAAAAGAAGAAUGCAUAUGUUCGCAAGAAAGAAUUCCACAAGAAUGUUCACAACAACUUUAUUCAUAAUAGUUGAAGACAGACAUAACGUGGAUAUCCAUCAACAGGAGCUUGGAUAAACAAGUUGUGGUAUAUUUAUGCAAUGGAAUAUUAGUCAUAAGAAAGAAUGACCUACUGAUACAACAAUAUGAAUACACUUCAAAACUACUAAUUUUGAAGAAAAAUAAUAAAAAUAUGUUUCCAUUUAUAUGAAACUGAAGAAUAGACAAAGCUAGUCAGUGGUGAUAAAAAUAGAAAAGUUUUUAUCUCUGGGAUAGAAAUUGAUUGGAAAGGAGCAUAAGGACACUUUCUUGAGUGAUGGAAAGUUUUUUAAUAAUCAUUUAGUUACUAUUGCACUGGCGCAUGCAAUUGUCAAAAUGUACCAGGAUGUCCUUGUAUUAAUAUUUGUGUUUUACUGUGUAUUAAUUACACCUUAAAUAAAAAGUAUUACUAAAAAUUAAACAGCUAAA